rnacentral:rRNA from 1 species
GUGUUGUUGGGUAGGGGAGCGUUCUGUAAGCCGUUGAAGGUGGACUGUGAGGUCUGCUGGAGGUAUCAGAAGUGCGAAUGCUGACAUAAGUAACGAUAAAGCGGGUGAAAAGCCCGCUCGCCGGAAGACCAAGGGUUCCUGUCCAACGUUAAUCGGGGCAGGGUGAGUCGACCCCUAAGGCGAGGCCGAAAGGCGUAGUCGAUGGGAAACAGGUUAAUAUUCCUGUACUUGGUGUUACUGCGAAGGGGGGACGGAGAAGGCUAUGUCGGCCGGGCGACGGUUGUCCCGGUUUAAGCGUGUAGGUGGGUGUUCCAGGUAAAUCCGGAACGCUGUUAACACUGAGGCGUGAUGACGAGGCACUACGGUGCUGAAGUGACAAAUGCCCUGCUUCCAGGAAAAGCCUCUAAGCAUCAGGUAACACGAAAUCGUACCCCAAACCGACACAGGUGGUCAGGUAGAGAAUACCAAGGCGCUUGAGAGAACUCGGGUGAAGGAACUAGGCAAAAUGGUGCCGUAACUUCGGGAGAAGGCACGCUGGCAUGUAGGUGAAGUCCCCUGCGGACGGAGCUGAAGCCAGUCGAAGAUACCAGCUGGCUGCAACUGUUUAUUAAAAACACAGCACUGUGCAAACACGAAAGUGGACGUAUACGGUGUGACGCCUGCCCGGUGCCGGAAGGUUAAUUGAUGGGGUUAUCCGUAAGGAGAAGCUCUUGAUCGAAGCCCCGGUAAACGGCGGCCGUAACUAUAACGGUCCUAAGGUAGCGAAAUUCCUUGUCGGGUAAGUUCCGACCUGCACGAAUGGCGUAAUGAUGGCCAGGCUGUCUCCACCCGAGACUCAGUGAAAUUGAAAUCGCUGUGAAGAUGCAGUGUACCCGCGGCAAGACGGAAAGACCCCGUGAACCUUUACUAUAGCUUGACACUGAACACUGGUCCUUGAUGUGCAGGAUAGGUGGGAGGCUUUGAAGCGUGGACGCCAGUCUGCGUGGAGCCAUCCUUGAAAUACCACCCUUUAAUGGCUGGUGUUCUAACGUUGACCCGUAAUCCGGGUUGCGGACAGUGUCUGGUGGGUAGUUUGACUGGGGCGGUCUCCUCCUAAAGCGUAACGGAGGAGCACGAAGGUUGGCUAAUCCUGGUCGGACAUCAGGAGGUUAGUGCAAUGGCAUAAGCCAGCUUGACUGCGAGCGUGACGGCGCGAGCAGGUGCGAAAGCAGGUCAUAGUGAUCCGGUGGUUCUGAAUGGAAGGGCCAUCGCUCAACGGAUAAAAGGUACUCCGGGGAUAACAGGCUGAUACCGCCCAAGAGUUCAUAUCGACGGCGGUGUUUGGCACCUCGAUGUCGGCUCAUCACAUCCUGGGGCUGAAGUAGGUCCCAAGGGUAUGGCUGUUCGCCAUUUAAAGUGGUACGCGAGCUGGGUUUAGAACGUCGUGAGACAGUUCGGUCCCUAUCUGCCGUGGGCGCUGGAGAACUGAGGGGGGCUGCUCCUAGUACGAGAGGACCGGAGUGGACGCAUCACUGGUGUUCGGGUUGUCAUGCCAAUGGCACUGCCCGGUAGCUACAUGCGGAAGAGAUAAGUGCUGAAAGCAUCUAAGCACGAAACUUGCCCCGAGAUGAGUUCUCCCUGAGACUAUAAGUCUCCUGAAGGAACGUUGAAGACGACGACGUUGAUAGGCCGGGUGUGUAAGCGCAGCGAUGCGUUGAGCUAACCGGUACUAAUGAGCCGUGAGGCUUAACCUUACAACGCCAGAGUGGUUU